UACGUAGGCAGCGAGCGUUGUUCGGAGUUACUGGGCGUAAAGGGUGUGUAGGCGGUUGUUUAAGUUUGGUGUGAAAUCUCCCGGCUCAACUGGGAGGGUGCGCCGAAUACUGAAUGACUUGGAGUGCGGGAGAGGUGAGUGGAAUUCCUGGUGUAGCGGUGAAAUGCGUAGAUAUCAGGAGGAACACCGGUGGUGUAGACGGCUUACUGGACCAUAACUGACGCUGAGGCACGAAAGCGUGGGUAGCAAACGGG
rnacentral:rRNA from 1 species